rnacentral:tRNA from 1 species
GCGGACGUGGCGGAAUCGGUAGACGCAACGGACUUAAAAUCCGUUUCCCGAAAGGGAGUGAGGGUUCAAGUCCCUCCGUCCGCA